rnacentral:rRNA from 1 species
UGGGGAAUAUUGGACAAUGGGCGCAAGCCUGAUCCAGCCAUGCCGCGAGAGUGAUGAAGGCCCUAGGGUUGUAAAGCUCUUUCACCGGUGAAGAUAAUGACGGUAACCGGAGAAGAAGCCCCGGCUAACUUCGUGCCAGCAGCCGCGGUAAUACGAAGGGGGCUAGCGUUGUUCGGAUUUACUGGGCGUAAAGCGCACGUAGGCGGACUUUUAAGUCAGGGGUGAAAUCCCGGGGCUCAACCCCGGAACUGCCUUUGAUACUGGAAGUCUUGAGUAUGGUAGAGGUGAGUGGAAUUCCGAGUGUAGAGGUGAAAUUCGUAGAUAUUCGGAGGAACACCAGUGGCGAAGGCGGCUCACUGGACCAUUACUGACGCUGAGGUGCGAAAGCGUGGGGAGCAAACAGG